GAGGGAGGGAGGCCAUCCUCUGGCAUUCACCUCAACUUCGGGCAAUCUUCAAUCCAUAAAUGUUGGAGAGAGGAGAGAUGGUUGUGAAGACUGCUUGAUAGUCUUUCCACGUUCCUCGUAUCUGUCAAGUUAAGAGAGGUUAGAGAAGAAGGAAAGAGAAGACUCCACACAUCCUCGUCCUCGGAAGGAAACCACACCUUCUCUCUAAAUUCGUUUCCAGAGAAAGUCGGUUGUUCGCAUCACAACUGGAAGCCAAGCCCUCGAUGAACUUUUAGGCGGUGGUAUUGAAUCUCUAACAAUUACAGAAGCAUUUGGCGAAUUUCGGUGAGAAGCACAGUCCAACAACGUUACCUUUGAUGAA